rnacentral:lncRNA from 1 species
AAAGGAGCACAGAGAGCGAUGUGGGUCUCCAGCACUCCCCAUGUGUGAUCCUCUCGGCUUGGCAAAAGGCAGCCCAAGGCCACUCUGAGGAGCUCUGGACGGAUGGACAUGCCAUUCUGUACGUCGUGUGGCUGUCAUCUGGAAGCUAACAUAAGAAAUGGCUCACUGGAGAGGAAGCGCCGUGGCUCUGCUGGAGCAGAUUCCUGCCUGCAAGCCGAGCGUGCGCGAGAAAAUGAUUGGGCUUUGAAAGCAACCCCCCAGCUGGAACAACACGUUGCUGCUCCGGUCGAAUGUCAUCACGGAUGAACUGUCUUUCCCCCUGAAAUCAUAAGAUUUGCAGAGCUGAUGGCUGCACACAGUGACCCUGCAGCAGGAACAGCCAGCGGGGCUUUGCCAAGAUGCACUCAGUGUUUGCAGUGAGGUGAUGUGGAGAUGUUCACUGCCAGUAUUUUGACUUUUCCUUUUGACAAGUCGGACCUGCCCUCAAACAGAAGCAAAAGGAGCACUAGAAGCAUAAGCAGUCUGCAAAGAGAAGUGAAGCGUUUGGCUGUGGGUUGCACAAAGUGCCUGGGGCCAGCCCAGAAGCACUGGAAGGACUGGGUCACCCCAACCCGCACCUAUACACGUUUUUAUCUUGGUUUUAAGCCCGGCCAUAUUUUGUUGCUGUUGUUGCUGAUUCCUGCCCUCCUCGCCCCCCUCAAACCAAAAAGUGGGCUCUUUGCCCAAAUCCCACGCAGCCCAAGCGGGCUCCUGAAGCACCGAGAGCUGCAGAGCAGUUUCACUGCUGCCCAGCUUGGUGGGUUCCCGUCCAUGUGUCCGUCCUGAGCAGCCCAGCACUGCAGGGAUGGACACACAGCCUCUGCAGGAGCACAGCUCCCUCUCAUGACUGCAGAGCACACCAGCACUGCAAUGAAUAUUAUACUAAAUCUUCUGAGGGGUUGACUGAUACACCUGUGUGUCAGCCAGCAAGCCUCUGACUUUAUAUCGCUGCAAGAUGGUUUUGAAAUCUUCAUUGUCCACCUGCCCCAGCUGCGGGUGUCUCAGAUUAACCUCAGAAAUACCUUAUUUCUCAGGAAUAGCCCCACUUGCAUUGCCCAAGCAGCUUUAAUAUGUGAGUUUGGGUACAGACAGAUUGUAUGGAAGCACAAUCAGAUGAGUUUAUUCUGCUCUGAGGCCACCUCCAACCUCAGAAGUCACUUUCAGCUGCUGCUGGAUUUGUGCUGGGCUUUGGGAUGAUCCCAAAACACCUCCAGAAAGAGGAAGGUGGGCACUGCAAACAGGUGAGGACACAGAUCUCCCAUUGCCAUCAGCCCCACUGCAUUGCCCCAUGUGCGAUUUAGGCUGGGGAAAGAUCCUAAAACUUCCCCCAUGGAGACUUUGUGUUGCUGCAUGGACAUAAAAAUCCAAGAAAAGGUUCCUCACCCCAACCCAGUGUGUCUGUGCAGCAUCAGCGCUCAGCACUAGAUGUCCUUGCGGUGCCGUGCAAGGAUGUGACAGAGGGGAUCCUUAUCGACGGAUUGAGGGUCACUUAGUGGGGAUGCUGCUAAAAAUAUCCAGAGCUGCCCUUUGGGGUGGGUAAGCCAUAGCUGCCACACAGGCCUGUUGAUGUCUUGUGGUGAAACACAUUAAAUUACAGGGAUUAUAUUAAAAUGGUGUAAAUUAAUGGGUUUAUGUUGCACUAAGGACAGGCUAGAAAACAGAUGAGGUCAGUUAUAAAAAGGUAGUAAUUUAUUUGGAUGUAAUAACUCCAACGGGUUGUUUAAUUGGUGUUCGUGACCACACACAGGCUUAUGUAAAGCUAUCAAUUUUAAAGUCCACCAUCCUUCUUUCUUUGCUUUUUCUACUGUUAUAUGUGAUCCCAUAUCAGGUGUAACAGGCAUGAGAAGCAGGGGGUAACUGAAAGAUCAUCAAGAAUGGAUUCAUUUUUUCCAAGGGUUUUUGAUAGUUCUGGCAUAAAUUACAUGUUGAUGGGAAAAUAUUUUGCUCUGCUUUAUGUGAAUGUUAUCGUAAGUAAUAAACUUGCAGGAAUAAUGCUGAAAUAUUUAUUG